rnacentral:misc_RNA from 1 species
AAAGUCGUAACAAGGUUUCCGUAGGUGAACCUGCGGAAGGAUCAUUAAUGAAUAAACUUGGUGGAUUGUUGCUGGCUCUUAGGAGUAUGUGCACAUCUGUCAUUGUUUCAUUCUUUCUCCACCUGUGCACCUUUGUAGGCUUGAAUCUUCUCAAGAGAUGUAUUCUCUUGGAAAUAAGGACUGAUAUCUCACCCAGAGAAAGCUGUCCUUUAUGUUCAAGUCUAUGUUUUUAUCUACACCCUAUUAGAAUGUUUCUGAAUGUAUUACAAAUUUGGCCCUAGGCCUUAUUAAAACCUUAUACAACUUUCAACAACGGAUCUCUUGGUUCUC